rnacentral:lncRNA from 1 species
UUUGUAGUAAGGUUCAAAUAUUUUUGGAAGUCAUUCAACAUAACAGCCAAAGGAUUUUCUUAGCCUUCAUGUAAUCUUUUCUUUUCACCACCUUUAAUACACCCACAAUAUAGAAAUAUAUUAAUGCCAAGUAAACUCACAUAAAAGAAAUCAUAUUUGUCAGGACUUAAGGUGGGCAUAAAAUAAUAUUGUAAUGACAUUUGAGCAUGCAAUUAUAACAGCAGACACGAAUUCAAAGAUUCAGCAAGAAGAACCAACUGUCAUUUAUUUAUUUCUUUUUCUUCAGACUUCACUGGGCAUUUUUUUAGUCCUGGUUUUAUUUGACAUCUCAGCAACAUUCCACACUACAGGCCAUUCCUGCCUUCUUAGAACUCUCUUUCCUCUAGGUCUGUGUGACAUCAACUCCUCAUUGUUUUCCUCUUCCCUGUUUGGCCAUUUCUUUUUAGUUUUCUGAUAAUCUUCAGUAAUUUAAAAUCUUCUGGAGGUAAUUAUAAGGAACAUCAUUUCAAAGGAUACGGGGAAAAGAGAUGUCACAUGAACACGUCUUAGAAUUUACACUGUAAAUCAAACAAUGUUGCUGCAAAGGCAUGUAAGUUAAUAUAGAAACAAUGGAAGAAUGUAAAGAAAACUCAGAGACAGGGAAGAAAGCCAGGAUAGGCUCCAAGAUCAGCUGGAUGAGAUCACAACAUGUGACCCUCACAGAUGAUAGAUCAAGAAAAUGGGAAGAGCUUCAAAGCCCUGAAACCAUAUAAAGGAGAGUCACCCAACAACUAAAAGCACCCAUCCUAAACUAUUAUGUGAACAAGAAACAAACCUCUAUUAAUAUAUUUGAAUUAUUAAAUAUUUUGAGUCUA